UCCCAGAUGGCUCAGUGGGUAAAGAAUCUGCCUGCAAUGCAGGAGACAUGGGUUUGAUUCCUGGGUUGGGAA
rnacentral:tRNA from 1 species